UUGGGUCCUGAGUGGGGAAAAAAAGGGUGGAGUGGGGAGGACAGGUGAGCACUCCUGCGAAACACACACACACAACCCUUAAGCAUUUAGGUGAACGUGAUCCUUCAGGCAAGACGGACUUCCCGUGAUUACUGCUGUUUCUGUUCCCAGUUUGUGACAUCUGUUAAUCAGGGACAAACAAACCCUUGUGGCCCCAUAAUCAACCAGAAGAAAAAAAAAAAAAAAGACUUACUUUUUAUGUUGGUUUAUUUAAAGUAAUCAAAAACUUUUAAUCAGAAGACAGGAAAAACAUCCUAAUCCAAUCACAAAUUACACGUCGCAAUUUAGCAGCUGGGUUGCAGCACGGAUUUCCAAAGCUGCACCGACCAGCAGUCCAACGCUCAUACGUGGCCGUGCUUUAAAAACCGAUUGAGGCGCAUUUUUUUUUCCCCCUUUUCUUUAAAGCGAUGCAGGUUUCCAUGACAACACUGUUAUGUCAAAACAACACCUGAGUAAAACCGAAUUCUCGGCCAGCCGUUUCACGCGAACGUGGUUUAAGUUACUCUCCGACGCAAACGCUCGCUUUCCUUCGUCUUGCCUUCGCAUUAAAGUGGACCCUUCCUAUUUGGCAAACUUCGACACGUCGGCUGAGAGAUGAACAUUUUCACUCGUGGUGAUUGAAAACGCAUGAUGCAAAGAGCUCAAAUAAACAACAGGUAACAAGGCAUCCAAGUAGAAUUAGAUCGUUACUGAGAAGGUACUCGAGGGACAAAAAUCAAAUCAAAUAAAUAAAUAAAUAAAUAAAUAAAUAAAUAAUCAGAACAGAUCAAGGUCUAUUUAUGGAAAAACAAAACCUAAAGAUAUCUGGGCUCAGACAGGUAAAAAUAACACUGCCAUGUUUUCCGCAUUACGCCACAGCAAAGUAAUGGACUGCAGAGCUACAGAUCCCUCCACAUCAAGUCGUUUGGCUAAGUGGACUCGAUGGCUGGAAAAUAAAAACAUGUGGUAAAAGCAAAGUACAAUCAGUGAAGGUCCAGCCCAUCCCCUCCACAGCCAGAAAUCAUGGCUGCACAUUCAGUCAAGCCUGAGUUACUAAUUAAAACAUGGCAGAAUACUGAACCCCCUCCUCCACUGCACUAUCAAAGCUCUAAAAACCUCUCCAAGCAACAUCACCCAGGUUUCACAAAAAACACAGAAAACUAAUCCUGAAGGUGCGUUUACAUUACUCAACACGCACGGUAAAGGAAGAUUUUGCCGUGAAAAAAAAAAGGGGGGGGGAGGGGGGUGUUCCCAGCAAAGAAGGUAAUUUGAUGAUUAAGCUGUUGCUUACAUCUCCGCUGAACAUAUUUCAAACACUGCCUGCUCUACGCUGUAGCCCAGAGGCAGAGCAGGAGCCUGGGUUUAACUGAACACUCUUCAUUGCUGAGCUGGUAAAUGGGUCAACAGAGCUGAGGGGGUCGAAUGACAGUGGCGCUCUGUCUGGGGAGAGCUCACGAUGCUGGGAUUCCUGAUUAAUCACUGAGCUGGAGCUUCCCGGGUGGUCCUGGCGGUCUCGUCAACCUGCCCAACAUGUGCAUCUCGAGCAGAGCCACUAAUGACCGUAAAUGCUGGCUGAACCAUGGGCUAUUCCUUUGUAUAAAGACGGCUUAAGAGAACGCUAUCGUUUUACCUCCAAGUUUAAAAAAAAAGUAAGGGGGGUGGGGUGGGUAAAAAGCUUAAAACGAAAACGAAAGAAAGCCACCUUAUUUUUUUUUUUUUUUCGGAGAGGGGGUGAAAGAGGUCGCACAUGAACUCCAAAAGCAGGGAAAGAAAACUGGAACAUUGCCUUGGAUCAUGGUACUGAGUCGAGGAUGGUCAAAGAGGUGAAUCCCAGGCUUUGGAUGAUGGUACCGAGUCGAGGAAGCGAACCUGGGCUUUGGAUCAUGGUAUUGAGUCGAGGAAGCGAACCUGGGCUUUGGAUCAUGGUAUUGAGUCAAAGAGGUGAAUCCCGGUCUUUGGAUCAUAGUAUUGAGUCGAGGAAGCGAACCUGGGCUUUGGAUCAUGGUACCGAGUCGAGGAAUCGAACCCGGGCUUUGGAUCAUGUUAUUGAGUCGAGGAAGCAAACCCGGGCUUUGGAUCAUGGUACCGAGUCAAGGAAGCGAACCCGGGCUUUGGAUCAUGGUAUUGAGUCGAAGAGGUGAAUCCCGGUCUUUGGAUCAUAGUAUUGAGUCGAGGAAGCGAACCUGGGCUUUGGAUCAUGGUACCGAGUCGAGGAAUCGAACCUGGGCUUUGGAUCAUGGUAUUGAGUCGAGGAAGCGAACCCGGGCUUUGGAUCAUGGUACAGAGUCGAGGAGGUGAAUCCCGGGCUUUGGAUCAGGGUACUGAGUCGAGGCCGAUCGAGGAGGUGAAUCCCGGGCCAGUGUCUGAACAGUACGCUCUUUGAAUCAGCGCAACAUUCCUCAGAAGUUUGCAAGCGGUUCCAACACUGAAGCUUCCUGUGCUGGUUCGAGAUGCCAAAAGGCAUUAGUGGCAACCUGUUCAAUGUAGAGUACAUGCUCAUUCGUUCAAAACGUGGAGAUCAUACAAACCUUUCAAGAACGAAGGUGCAAUCAACACCAAGUGAUUCGGCCUCACUAUGAAGAGUCGUACACGCUCCGUUAAGAACGUAAACGAACGUAAACACGGUAUUUGAAACGAACGGAUAAUGGGUUUGUUUUCCCAAACUGAUGCAAAAUAAUAGGCAUACUAUUGGGGUGUGAAUAAUUACCGCUCGAGCAGGAUUUAACAAAACAGUCCCACGGACAAACUCUAGCUGAGACCCAUGAUGAACUCGAGUGAUGUAGCUGAGGUCGAGGAACUGUCGAGAGCCAGAAUUCAGACCAUGCUGACAAUGGUGGCAGUGGGGGUCUCCAAAAAAAACCCACCAACAACAACAAAAAACCCCACACCACUCAUCAAUUCAGAUACAAAUAUGAAUAUCUUGAGCAGAUACAAACAGUGGCAUUGUGGUAUACUCCUAAACCUUAGCCAUUCUUUAUUUCAACUGAUCUCUUUCCUUUUAGACAGACUUAUCGAACAAAGGCGGCCUGAAUGACCCUUGUAAAAGGUGUGUGAUGAGCAACAUCUGUAGCACCAUCUGAACCAGUGCUACAAGAAAAGAAAAAAAAGAAAGAAAAAAAAAAACUGGCUAGUUUUUCCCCCCAUAAGCUUUUGUGUUCAUUCAGGGAAUUUGUUUAAAAAGUUCUGGCAAACAAGACCACGAAAAACUUGUAAUCCAAAAAAUCCCAAAUAAAUCUUGAUGGUGUUUUAAAAGAAACGCAAAAGCAUCAAAGUUCAAAGUACCAGGACUAUUUUAUCCCCAGUGUUUAUAACUCAAGUAUACUGCUUUAUAUUUACUUCAAAUAAAGUACUCCUCUUUUUUCAAUUUUUGCCCAAUUUCUGGACCCCUGAGGGGGUUUUUUUUUUUUUUAACCAUCUAAUUAUUCGCACAUGUUUCCGAUCUCUCACAAGACACUAUAAAUGUCAUUUGCUCUUCAGAAAGGUGGAGUAUUGAGAAGUAUGCUUGAACACAAUCGCCAUGCAUUGUAGUACUUUAACGCAGAAGAAUCAGUUGUACCCUGGGUUCACAGUUGGUACUAAAAUAAAUGAUCUCUCCAGGAAAUAUAACCUGUUUAAUAAGAACUCAAGCAGCACUACAAAAUGACUGCAUCCCAGACGGACACAGCAGGGGAUUGAGUAUAUUAUGCCAAAAAAAUAAGACAAAAAGAAAAAUUACGGUAGCCCUUAACCUUUUUUUAAGUUUAAACUUGUUUCACCUUCAUGUUGGUCUAUUUUCACUUUGGUUAAAAGUUUCCUAUAUUACCCAAGACGCCGUCGUUCAAAUACCUGCUGGUAGUGCUGCCAGUGAGAUUAGACAUCAUUUCAUCGCUUUAGGCAGAGUGAGAUGCGGCAGCGCUUUAGCAGUUUCUCUCCCACCUCCUCAUCUGUACUCUCUGCUCGCAUGGAUAAGGCUUCACCUUUUAUGCCGAUACAAGUCAACGCUCAACGUGAAUAUACAGUUGCAAUCAAAAUGAUUCGACCCCCAUUGCAAAUCAGGUUUAUAUAAAUACCCAAACCGGCUAGGGGUAGAAGAUGUUAAAUACCUGGACGGGGCAGAAAAAGGAAGCUAUCAAGGAUUUAGUGAGCACAGUAAGGCGCGUAAUAAACGCAGAAGGUUUCCAUGCCAGAACUCCAAGACGUACACCACUACUGACUCAAAAGCACAAGAAAAGUCGGCUCAAAAUCAUAUAAAUAAGCCACAGAAGUUUUGGGAUUCUGUUCUGUGGAGCGAUUAAACGAAACUGGAACUUUUCGGCACGAUGGAUCAGCGGUACGUCUGGAGGAAGAAGAAUGAAGAAAGAACACUCUGUCCACAGUCGAGCAUGGUGGUGGCUCGGUGAUGCUCCGGGGCUGCUUUGCAUCCUCUGGCACUGGAAACCUGCAGCGUCUGGAAGGCGAGAUGGAUUCAUUGAAGGAUCAGGAAAUCCUAGAAGAAAACAUCACGCCGUCUGUGAGGAAGCUGCAGCUUGGGCGUCAUCAGACCUUCCAACAGGACAAUGAUCCCAAGCAUACCUCAAAUUCCACCAAGGAUUGGUUGCAGAAGAAGUUCUGGAAGAUUCUACAGGGCCGUCACAGUCACCUGACUUGAACCCCAUAGAAAAUCUCUGGUGGGAUUUGAAGAAGGCGGUUGCAGCACGCAAACCCAAGAAUAUUACUGAACUGGAGGCCAUUGCUCAUGAGGAAUGGGAGAAGAUUCUUCAGGAACACUGCCAGAAGCUCUGCAUCUCGUUUGCAGCAGGUCAUAACAGCAAAAGGGUGUCUACUAAGUACUAAAGAUGCCUGCCAUGACGGGGUUGAAUCGUUUUGAGACUGGAGAAGUCAUUAUAAGUUGCAUUUUCAGUUGAUUUUGGGGAAACCACUUGGAGCAUUCGUUGUGUUGAACUAUUUCAACUGCUUGUUUGAUUUGUUCAUCGUAAACAGCUGAAAGUCUGUACAUUUUAACAAUAAACCGGAUUUGAAUAAUUUGAUUGCAACUGUAUCUUACAGCCGAACUGAAUUCUGAAACUUUCAGUGGAAAACGGUGACUGAGGAAAAAGAAGCUCUUGCUUUUUUGUUGAGAGACGAAACAUGAACGUAACUGAGCUAACAAUAUCAACCAAAAGCUUCUGAAGAGACCUCCAAGAGGUUUAACAGAACUAUGCAACAAAAGCAAUAAAAAAAAAAAUCUCUAUGUAUGGCUCUACUGAUAUGCAAGAUCCCUCCGUGAAGACGGAUUUCAGCAGACACUGCUUUUGACCUGCAGGUGCACGAACCACAGUGAGCAAGGGCUCCGGGGCAGGAGUUUUUUUUUUUUGGUGGAAUGUAAUGGCUUGAGAUAUUUGUAAUACCUGACCGUAGCCAGUCAAAACAGCUGCACACAAAUUAUACACAUAACCUUACUGCCCUAUUAUAAACAGUCUCCCACAAGCUGAGCACUUCACAUCUGGCAUGACGCCUGAUGUCCUCCUUCUAUCACAGCAGCCUCAACCAGUCUUUCAAACCUUAUUCAAUGGCUGAUGUCCAGCAGUCAAAGGCAUUCGUUUUCUAUGCCAACAUCUAGAGUGGCGAUGAAGUGAGAAACUCUAACAAGCACCAUGCGUCACACUUCUUAUGCCUUUUUUAUCCCCGGUAAGGACUAAAACGUAAAAACGUCAGUGUGGGGGUUGGUGGAGCUCGGUUAAGAAACAUCUGGGGAGGCUUAUUAAGACUGGUUCCUGCAGCUAAUUAUCCUCAGUUGAAAUCUGGUCCUUUGCUCCGUGAGGCCCAGUCAGCGGGGAACUAAGAACAGUAGCAAAUUACUACGUUCCCACCAAUGAACCACUGGGAAGACAGGCCAAGUCAGGCCCCACCCUACACCGUCAGUUGGCUCAGCCCUGGAGCCCAGGUACAUAAAAGAGCUGCAGUAAGGCCUGAGGCUGCUCCAGACCCCAAGCUGGGUGGCUCUCGUGUCUGGGCCAUGGUGCUCUUCUUUGUCAUUACGGUGGAAAUCUGCAAGCUUCCUUUGUCUCCAAUUAGUUUCUCUGAAGAGUGUAAGGGCAUCCUGAAUGGGUGUUUCGAAUAAUGACCAUUCAUCAGGAGGAAAAAAAAAAAAUAAAAGAAGAAGAAGAAAAAGGGGGAAGCAAAGUUUACGGUGCUCCUUUGAAAACUUCAGAGACAAAGCGGUGAAUCAGCUUUAAACAGAUGGCCUUCAUGAUGGUAGGCUUGUUUGGGUGAGGGGAAGGGAGGUCAGAGCUGCUGCAAGCCACAUUCAGAGGCAGGAAGGCUGACUGAGCAGGAUGUGUGUGCUACAAGGAGGGGGUGCGGCUGCUCGUCGUUGUGUGCGGCUGGACGCACUAGCUAAGCCCAAUGGAUUCUUGUAAACACUGCAGGGGCUCUUUCCUGUGACAGCACACCUGUGCCAAAGUGCUAGCAAAAAAAAAACGAAAGAAUGAAAGAAAGAAAGAAACGAUCGGGACAAAGCUAAAACAUCUCACCCCUCCCAUUUACCACCACCCCUUGAAGCGCAAUAAAUGCUUUGGAGCCAAGCCGCAUGAGUAAACAGAGUUUAUCACCCCCUGUAAAGUUCAAAGGCAGCAUGGUACCCACAAAACAGGUUUUGGAGCAUUAAACUUGCGGGGACUUGAUAAUAAGAAAAAGAUACAUGUUCAAACGAUUGCAGGCGCUCGGCGUUCUGUAGCAUCCUAUGUGCAAUAUGGGAAUUGCAGUAAACUUGCCCCCUUACCUUGGGUAACAUGGGUGUGGACCUCUUGCUUUUCUUUUCCGACGGGUCAUCCAGCUGGUCUGGCUCGAAACUGUAGAGUUCAGUCAGUUCGUUCAUGGUGAAGUGGCGCUCAAUCUGCUGUUGGUCCACCACACGGAAUGAUAGGGACUGUUUGGUCACCUGCCUGUCGUAAAUCUUAUCCUCCAUGGUUCCCUGUUGUAAAACAGACUAACGGCAUUAAGAGGCGAUUGUACUUUGAUUCUAGACGGUUCAGGGCUCUGAUAGUGCUUUGGAAGCAAAGCACUACCUACACUCUUCCGCAUAUAAUCAGCUCACAGACAUUCAUAACUGGCUAGCGUCGUGGCGAUUGACCAGGGAUAGAGCGCGUGUAUGUAUUCCUCCAACUCGGACUGCACGACCAAUUCAUCUGCCUUGGCUCCCAGCCAUGGACGUCUGUGGCACCACUGCGAUUUGACCUAAUGAUCUCCAAAUGCUUUGUUGUUGCUCCACAUUCAUUUUUUUUUUUAAUGUACGUCGUAUUAAAGCGGGAGCGCGAGAACGCGCCGGUAAUACAGUUCGCACGUCACGAAGAGCCUGAGAACAAACAAACAAAUAAAUAACCCACGCAUUCCCUACCUGAGCCAAAAACCUGUAGACGUACACGGUUUUCAGUUGGCCGAAGCGGUACACCCUGAAAAUACUCUGAAUGUCAUAGGACGGAUUCCACGAGGCAUCGAAGAUGAUGACCCGGUUUGCUGCCACUAGGUUGAUCCCUAGAGAACCAGCUCUUGUCGAGAUGAGAAAAAGACGACCCCUGAAGGGAGAAAGAAGGGAAAAAAAAAGAAAGAAAUAAAAAGGGAUUACUGCAUCAGUGUGGUGUGGCAUGGAGGCGAUCAGCCUGUGGCACUGCUGAGGUGUUCUGGAAGCCCAGGUUGCUUUGAUAGCGGACUUCAGCUCGUCUGUAUUGUCGGGUCUGGCGUCUCUCGUAGGUUCUCUAUGGGGUUCGGGUCAGGCGAGUCGGCUGGACAAUCAAGCACAGUAAUACCAUGGUCGGUAAACCAGUUACUAAUAGUUCUGGCACUGUGGGCAGGUGCCACGUCCUGCUGGAAAAGGAAAUCAGCAUCUCCAUAAAGCUCGUCAGCAGAUGGAAGCAUGAAGUUCUCUAAAAUCUCCUGGUAGACGCUGCAUCGACUCUCGACUUGAGAAAACACACUGGACCGACACCAGCAGAUGACAUGGCAACCCAAAUCAUCACUGACUGUGGAAACUUCACACUGGACUUCAAGCAGCUUGGAUUCUGUUCCUCUCCACUCGUCCUCCAGACUCUGGGACCUUGAUUUCCAAAUGAAAUGCAACAUUGACGUUCAUCUUCCCCGUGAUUGUGGUCGCGUGUACUGAACCAGACUGAGAGAUUAAAGACUCAGGAAACCUUCGCAGAUAAAGAGCAAAGGAGUUAGCUUUGUCUGAGGAGAGGAUGAAAAAAAAAAAAAGGGUUUACCGAACGUUGCUGGUGUCAUUGAAUUCUUCAGCCCAUUUCUUCCUAGUAAUGGCAUUGGUAGAACCAUCCAGUCGGUAGUAGUCAAUGUUUCUGAACCACUUGCCCUCACCUUCAAGAGAAAACAACAUUAGAGCCACUCGGCGCCGACUCGCUUUGUACGAGCGCCUCACAAAACAACGACGACGGCGUGAGCGGCCAGUGCUCUGUGCUGCACGAGGUUUCUUUCUCACAGAGAACAAACAAGCUGAUCCAGUCAUAACAAAACCCAGUGUGGUAGAAGCAGCGUGAUAAUGCCUGAUGAGCCAGCUGCGUUCAAGUAGACCUUAGGUAAAAGAAUGCACACAGAAAGGUGGCUGAGUGGAGGGUACUCAUGUUUGGCCUUUAAUAUUACUGCCUCCCUCCUGUGAGAGUGUUCAUAACUAACAUUACAGUAUAUGUUUCCAAUUACUUCUCUGUGAUCUUUUCAUUACAAAUUGUAAAGCCUUAAGCAAACAAUUUCGGGGGGGGAGAGAGGAAAAAAAAAAAGUCAAGGUCUAAUCAUUUUCAAAACGAAAGCAAGAACAGCUGCUGAAGUUUAAUUAAGAAAAUGACCUUACGCCAGAGGCUUUUGGGUCCGAGUGUGUAGGAUGCGUGUGAAAUCGAGACCUUUUUAACUUGGAUCCGUGUCAGAUGUGCGCUAAAAGUCGAAGACGGGCUCCUAAACUCGACCACCGCGCUUUUAACUCGCUCGAUAAACAUAAGAACGCAGGUACGAGAGGUGAUGUUUGAUUGGCCCGGUGUUCUGGGUCAGAAAGGGACCAAACAAAUCUAACCGUUAAACAAAACUACGCUCCGGAUGUCUCGGCGU